CCAUCGGUGGUUCAGUGGUAAAAUGCUCGCCUGCCACGCGGGCGGCCCUGGUUCGAUUCCCGGCCGAUGCA
rnacentral:tRNA from 1 species